rnacentral:rRNA from 1 species
UACGUAGGGGGCAAGCGUUGUCCGGAAUCAUUGGGCGUAAAGCGCGUGUAGGCGGCUGACUAAGUCCGCUCUGAAAGCCCGGGGCUCAACCCCGGGAGGCGGGUGGAUACUGUCAAGCUCGAGUCCGGAAGAGGAGUGUGGAAUUCCUGGUGUAGCGGUGAAAUGCGCAGAUAUCAGGAGGAACACCAAUGGCGAAGGCAG